CGGAGAAACUUUUUAAAAUAUGGAAAACUAAUUGGAUUAAGUUGUUAGAGAAAAUAGGACAAGAAAACCUAGAUCAGGAAAGGAGAAAACCAAAGAUGUAAGAAUAAUUCGAGAGAGGUAUUUUAAUUUAGGGCAAAUCCAACGAGUAGGAGAUCAUGGGGAAGCCAUAUAAAGAAUGAGAUGGAAACAGCUAAACUCAACUCCCUUUCUUGGAGUUGAGGCUCAGCAGAAAGAGUAGAAGUGUAAGAGUUGGAAAGAGAAACAGAAUAGAAACUGAAGUAAUGUCAUAUCCACUAAGAGUAUUAGAAUUU